rnacentral:rRNA from 1 species
UACGUAGGGGGCAAGCGUUGUCCGGAUUUAUUGGGCGUAAAGAGCUCGUAGGUGGUUCGGUAAGUCGGAUGUGAAAUCUCCAGGCUCAACCUGGAGGGGUCAUUCGAUACUGCCGUGACUAGAGGUCGGUAGGGGAGUGUGGAAUUCCUGGUGGAGCGGUGAAAUGCGCAGAUAUCAGGAGGAACACCGAAGGCGAAGGCAGUGUCCUGGCGAGUGACUGACGCUGAGGUGCGAAAGCCAGGGGAGCGAACGGG